UCGGGAAUUUUGGGCAAUGGGCGAAAGCCUGACCCAGCAACGCCGCGUGAGGGAUGAAGUAUUUCGGUAUGUAAACCUCGAAAGAAUGGGAAGAAUAAAUGACGGUACCAUUUAUAAGCUCCGGCUAACUACGUGCCAGCAGCCGCGGUAAUACGUAGGGAGCAAGCGUCGUUCGGAUUUACUGGGCGUAAAGGGCGCGUAGGCGGCGCGGUAAGUCACUUGUGAAAUCUCUGAGCUUAACUCAGAACGGCCAAGUGAUACUGCUGUGCUAGAGUGCGGAAGAGGCAACCGGAAUUCUUGGUGUAGCGGUGAAAUGCGUAGAUAUCAAGAGGAACACCUGAGGCGAAGGCGGGUUGCUGGGCCGACACUGACGCUGAUGCGCGAAAGCCAGGGGAGCAAACG
rnacentral:rRNA from 1 species